rnacentral:rRNA from 1 species
GACGAACGCUGGCGGCGUGCUUAACACAUGCAAGUCGAACGGAAAGGCCCUGCUUUUGUGGGGUGCUCGAGUGGCGAACGGGUGAGUAACACGUGAGUAACCUGCCCUUGACUUUGGGAUAACUUCAGGAAACUGGGGCUAAUACCGGAUAGGAGCUCCUGCUGCAUGGUGGGGGUUGGAAAGUUUCGGCGGUUGGGGAUGGACUCGCGGCUUAUCAGCUUGUUGGUGGGGUAGUGGCUUACCAAGGCUUUGACGGGUAGCCGGCCUGAGAGGGUGACCGGCCACAUUGGGACUGAGAUACGGCCCAGACUCCUACGGGAGGCAGCAGUGGGGAAUAUUGCACAAUGGGCGGAAGCCUGAUGCAGCAACGCCGCGUGCGGGAUGAAGGCCUUCGGGUCGUAAACCGCUUUCGCCUGUGACGAAGCGUGAGUGACGGUAAUGGGUAAAGAAGCACCGGCUAACUACGUG